UACCUCAGUUUCUCUCUCUCUCUCUCUCUCCCUGCGCAGCUGCCGUCUCUGCCUCUCCUUCAAUCCAUUGUCACAGCAGCCCUAGCUCAUACCCAAACACCGAAACUUAGCACUUGAAACCAAACCCCCAAACACUCACACUCCCUCUUUCUCAUGUGUGAAGCUUUCCCAAGUGCCAACUCUCAUGGAGUGAAGUUCUCUCUGAAGCCAAACGCCUUUGUGGUAGUCACCACGGGCCCAUCACAACAUAGAAGAAGAUCGAGCAAGACAAGAACAGAACACAGAAAGACAGAAGUCAGAAGAAUAACCUCAAACUCCUCUGCUUCUUUCCACCAUGCACCCUUCAAUCUCGAUCUAGGACUCGCCCUUUCCACUCGAUGUCCUGUACAAGUAAUGCAUUAGGUCAGGAAGGAUCAUUUGCAAGUGUGCACUAUCAUCUCCUCAAGAGAGGCGAUCAAGUAUUGCAAGCUCCGGCCACAAAAAUUGAUGGUGCAAGAGAUCCUCAACUCAGAGAAGUGUUGCAAGUGGAGAGAAUGGGUGGUCCACAACAUCAAGCAAUUUUUUUAGUUUAGAAUCAUGUUUUUUAAACUUUGGCUAAGUGCUCUAAUGAUUGUUCAUAUACCAAUUAGUUUGGCAAUGAUGUACUAGUGAUUUGUGCGAGAUGUAUUCAUGAGCAGAUUAUGAUCUUCAUUUUGUUAUUAAUAAAAAAAAAAAAUCUGCACCUAUGUGCAAUUUAUACAAAUUAUAAUUCUCGUUUUAUCAUUAAAGAAA